CUCCUACGGGAGGCAGCAGUAGGGAAUCUUCCGCAAUGGACGCAAGUCUGACGGAGCAACGCCGCGUGAGUGAAGAAGGAUUUCGGUUCGUAAAACUCUGUUGUUAGAGAAGGACAGCGCAUAGAGUAACUGUUAUGCGUGUGACGGUAUCUAACCAGAAAGCCACGGCUAACUACGUGCCAGCAGCCGCGGUAAUACGUAGGUGGCAAGCGUUGUCCGGAUUUAUUGGGCGUAAGGCGAGCGCAGGCGGUCAAUUAAGUCUGAUGUGAAAGCCCCCGGCUCAACCGGGGAGGGUCAUUGGAAACUGGUUGACUUGAGUGCAGAAGAGGAGAGUGGAAUUCCAUGUGUAGCGGUGAAAUGCGUAGAUAUAUGGAGGAACACCAGUGGCGAAGGCGACUCUCUGGUCUGUAACUGACGCUGAGGCUCGAAAGCGUGGGUAGCAAACAGGAUUAGAUACCCUGGUAGUCCACGCCGUAAACGAUGAGUGCUAAGUGUUGGAGGGUUUCCGCCCUUCAGUGCUGCAGUUAACGCAUUAAGCACUCCGCCUGGGGAGUACGACCGCAAGGUUGAAACUCAAAGGAAUUGACGG
rnacentral:rRNA from 1 species